rnacentral:rRNA from 1 species
AUUGAACGCUGGCGGCAGGCCUAACACAUGCAAGUCGAGCGGAGCGGCGGACGGGUGAGUAAUGCCGAGGAAUCUGACUGGUAGUGGGGGCUAACGUCCUGAAACGGGCGCUAAUACCGCAUACUAUCAGAUGAGCCUAGGUCGGAGGAGCUAGUUGGUGGGGUAAAGGCCUACCAAGGCGACGAUCCGUAAAUGGUCUGAGAGGAUGAUCAGUCACACUGGAACGGAGACACGGUACAGACUCCUACGGGAGGCAUCAGUGGGGAAUAUUUGACACUGGGCGAAAGCCGGAUCCAGCCAUGCCGCGUGUGUGAAGAAGGUCUUCGGAUUGUAAAGCACUUUAAGUUGGGAGGCGUUACCAACAGAAGAAGCACCGGCUAACUGCGUGCCAGCAGCCGCGGUAAUUC